rnacentral:snRNA from 14 species
AGCUUUGUGCAGUGGCAGUAUCAAAACCAAUGAGGUUUAGCCAAGGCAUGAUUGUUGCUAAUUGAAAAUUUAAAUCUUAUAUUA